CACCCGUGAUGACCUGCCAUGCUAAUACCGAGGCACCGAGUCGAGCUUUUGGCUCUGAAUCGGGUGUCGGUGAGUUUAGCUUUCUUCUCGCGAGAAGUCCUGAGGUGC